AACACGUGAGCAACCUGCCCCUGACUCUGGGAUAAGCGCUGGAAACGGCGUCUAAUACUGGAUAUGUGACGUGACCGCAUGGUCUGCGUCUGGAAAGAAUUUCGGUUGGGGAUGGGCUCGCGGCCUAUCAGCUUGUUGGUGAGGUAAUGGCUCACCAAGGCGUCGACGGGUAGCCGGCCUGAGAGGGUGACCGGCCACACUGGGACUGAGACACGGCCCAGACUCCUACGGGAGGCAGCAGUGGGGAAUAUUGCACAAUGGGCGCAAGCCUGAUGCAGCAACGCCGCGUGAGGGACGACGGCCUUCGGGUUGUAAACCUCUUUUAGCAGGGAAGAAGCGAAAGUGACGGUACCUGCAGAAAAAGCGCCGGCUAACUACGUGCCAGCAGCCGCGGUAAUACGUAGGGCGCAAGCGUUAUCCGGAAUUAUUGGGCGUAAAGAGCUCGUAGGCGGUUUGUCGCGUCUGCUGUGAAAUCCGGAGGCUCAACCUCCGGCCUGCAGUGGGUACGGGCAGACUAGAGUGCGGUAGGGGAGAUUGGAAUUCCUGGUGUAGCGGUGGAAUGCGCAGAUAUCAGGAGGAACACCGAUGGCGAAGGCAGAUCUCUGGGCCGUAACUGACGCUGAGGAGCGAAAGGGUGGGGAGCAAACAGGCUUAGAUACCCUGGUAGUCCACCCCGUAAACGUUGGGAACUAGUUGUGGGGUCCAUUCCACGGAUUCCGUGACGCAGCUAACGCAUUAAGUUCCCCGCCUGGGGAGUACGGCCGCAAGGCUAAAACUCAAAGGAAUUGACGGGGACCCGCACAAGCGGCGGAGCAUGCGGAUUAAUUCGAUGCAACGCGAAGAACCUUACCAAGGCUUGACAUAUACGAGAACGGGCCAGAAAUGGUCAACUCUUUGGACACUCGUAAACAGGUGGUGCAUGGUUGUCGUCAGCUCGUGUCGUGAGAUGUUGGGUUAAGUCCCGCAACGAGCGCAACCCUCGUUCUAUGUUGCCAGCACGUAAUGGUGGGAACUCAUGGGAUACUGCCGGGGUCAACUCGGAGGAAGGUGGGGAUGACGUCAAAUCAUCAUGCCCCUUAUGUCUUGGGCUUCACGCAUGCUACAAUGGCCGGUACAAAGGGCUGCAAUACCGCGAGGUGGAGCGAAUCCCAAAAAGCCGGUCCCAGUUCGGAUUGAGGUCUGCAACUCGACCUCAUGAAGUCGGAGUCGCUAGUAAUCGCAGAUCAGCAACGCUGCGGUGAAUACGUUCCCGGGUCUUGUACACACCGCCC
rnacentral:rRNA from 1 species